CCUCAGUACGGGCGAGUGAGCGGCAAAAGCUCAACUUUGGAAUCGCUCCGGCGAGUUGUAGUCUCGGAGGUUCUCAUUCCGCAAAGAAAAGUGGUGCCAAGUCCUUUGGAACAAGGCGCCUGAGAGGGUGACAGCCCCGUGGACACCAUGCUUUCUUUGCCCUUGAGGUACCGACGAGUCGAGUUGUUUGGGAAUGCAGCUCUAAGUGGGUGGUAAAUUCCAUCUAAAGCUAAAUAUUGGCGAGAGACCGAUAGCGAACAAGUACAGUGAUGGAAAGAUGAAAAGCACUUUGAAAAGAGAGUGAAACAGUACGUGAAAUUGUUGAAAGGGAAGGGCUUGCACCCAGACACGGUUUUACCGGGCCAGCAUCUGGUGGGG
rnacentral:rRNA from 2 species